ACCCUCUCUCUCUCUCUGAUUUUAUAUUUUUAUAUAUAUAAAAAAUUUUAUUUAUAAAUAUAUAAUAAUUUAUUUUAUAAUAUUAUAUAUAUAUUAUUAUAUAUUAUUUUACAUAUUUAUUAUAUUAUAUAUUUUAAAUAUAUAUUUUGUUUAUAAAUCUAAAUUAUAAUAAUUAAAUAUAUUAUGAUAUUUAUUAUAUAUUAAUAAUAUAUAAUAAUAUAUAUAAUAGGAGAAAUAUAUAUAAUAAUUUUUUAUAUAUAAUAUAAUAAUUAUUAUAUAUUAAUAAUAUAUAUAAUAAAAGAUAUAUUAAAUAGUUUUUUAUCUAUUUUUUUUUUCAACCAAAUGACUGUAAUGAAAAAUUAUUUUUCUUUUCCUAUAAACCAAAUACUAAACAACGUUUUUUUUCCACCGAUUUUUUUUUUUUCCACAGUUUUACGU
rnacentral:lncRNA from 1 species